GGUUCACAUUAGACAUACAUGACACAUGGCAUAUGAUACACUGACUGCAUGGCAAUGUUCUCACAAUGAUGAAAAGCAUGUACUGCCAGUUUUCAAACUGACCAAGGAAUUAAAGAUAUAUCUCAGCUAUUCCAUUUCAUUAAUGCACAG